ensembl:lncRNA zinc finger CCCH domain-containing protein 11A-like
GGAGACAGCUGCCCCUUCCGCCACUGUGAAGCGGCUCUGGGGAGCGAACGAGUCUGCAGACUGUGGAUGGAGGGCGGCUGCUCGAGGAGUAACUGCAAGUUCCGUCACAUGAGGAUUGAUGUGAGUGUUUGCCUAAAGAUGUGCUUUCCAGCUUAGUCUACAACACCACUUUUCAUGGCUGUGGUUGGGCUGAAUGCACUUCUGCAGGCUGGAUAUGUUUGCUGUGAAAAUCUUACUGGUUUCUGUUUCUAGAGGAGACUGGGAGGAGGUAAAGAAGGCAGAGGAUUCAGUGCCUUAGGUAUAUCACAGCGGGAGAUGUUUGCAUUAGGAGCCAAAGGCAUUUUCUCCCCAGAUGCAAAAAGCUCUCAUUGCUCAGCCUCCUAAAGCUGCUGGAGCUGGGUGGUAGGAGAGAGCGGCACUGCCCUCCUGCCAGCAGGGCUUGGUUGUGGUCUAUCAGGCCUUUGCUGGCCUGGAUUUCUUCUGAGAAGUUUGUUGGAGCUGCUUGGAGUAGUGAAGGGUGGGGAAGAAGUGCUGCUCAAGAGCUAAGGCUCCACACGAUGGUUUCUGAUGGCUGUUGGAGAGCUGCAUCUCCCUGCAGACCUGAUGUGCCUGUUUCCAUGAACCUUGCUUUCUUUCUCUCUUCAGAGUAAGUGCAGGGUGCUUCCUUGCUUUUGGUGGAUUCAUCCAGGAGGCUGUCAGAAACCACACUGCGCCUUUCGUCACCUGAAGGAACGCGGUGCGCACGGACUGACCGCACCGCUGAGCCACAGUGAGUGUCCGAUGGCAUGAAGCAUGAAGGGCUCAAUUCUGAAUGUCAGUUCUGAGUGGGUGCGGGAUGCACGUCACCAUUCAUUGGGGAGGUGGGGGAGAGUCGUGAUAGUGAAAUAUCAGUCUCUGCUUUGGCUGUCAGAGCAGCACUGGGCUUUUUCUGGAGUGAGGAAGAUGCACUGCAGGUCUGUGCUGACUGCACAGCAUUUGGGCAGCGGAAGGCAAAUGUAACAAACAGUGCUUGAAAAUGUGAAGCUUGUGGUUGACUGUGCUCAAACCUGCCCCCAAAGAGACGCUCAUCAAUCAUUCCUUGUUUCUUUUCUGCCAGAAGUUGACACCAGUGGCCUUCCUCCAAAGAGCGGCCUUGCAAAAAGUCUGGGGAACCAGACAGAGGUUGACAAGGCACCAGAGAGAGUUGACAUCCCAGCUUCCUCCCAUGGCCCGGCUGGACGGAAACGCAAACGGUCGGAGGAGGAGAAGGGAAAAGCGGGGGAAUCGCCCUGCAAGAAAAGAGUUAAAGGUGGGCGCAGGGUCUCUGUGAGGCCCAUUGAUUGGAAAAACACCUUCCCCCCAACGCGGAGACAGAAACGAAAAGCAGCAGAAAUUCAUCCAUCUGCUGCUGAGGACGCGGAUGAGCCCCCAGCUAAAAAACUACCAAUGGAGACUCUUGCUUCAGUCCCGCCUGAACACACCAUGGUCUGCGUCGAAGUCAUAAAGCUUCCAAGCAGUCUGGAGCUGCUCCCAGGAAGCCACGCAGACCCCAUGGCACAGCCAGAGGAAUCCAACACUACAUCAUGUUCCUCACAAGGGGCAGAAAAUUAGCAGCUGAGCUGCACAGGGGCGGGGGAAGCAGCCAUCACUGAAGACAACAACCUUGAGGAGCUUCUGAUGGAGCUCACAGAAGAACUGGAAGGAGAAACUGAUGUGACGUUGAGGAUGUGGAUGUGGAUGAGCUCCUUCUGGACCUGUCCGACAUGACGGCUUAACACCAUCGCCUGAUUGGACAGUUUAAAACAACAACAAUUAAAACCAGCCCUGUUCCUUUCCAGCCCUGCUCCUUUUUGUUGUUACUCUGUGGGUAUUUCUGAGACUCUGCACUGAGUCUUAAAGCCGAGUCAAAGCAGUGACAAUCAGCACUGACUGCAUCCUGUUCUGAUUUCCUUGUGGCUCUGAGUUCAGGUCCUGCACCCGCCGCCAGCUCUGGGUGCUGCUUCAGCAUCGAGGGCACAAAGCUCCUCUGUGGGCACAGAACGGCGUCCAUCCAGGGCUGAAACUGAAACUUCCUCCUUCCUCUGCCGUUCCCCGUCGGCCACA